rnacentral:lncRNA from 1 species
CAGGACGCCAUAUUUUAUCUGGUCGUCAUGUCCCUUUAGGUUUUCCUUGGCUUGAUAUUUUCUCAGGCUUUCCUUGGUUUUGAUGACCUUGAUAGUUUUGAGGACAAUUGGGUCCAGUACUUUGUAGAAUAUCUCAUCUUUGGAAUUUGUCUUGUGUUUUUCUUAUGAUUACAGCGGAAUUUAUAUUUGGGGGAAGUAAAUUGUCAUUCUCACCAUAUCCUAUUAAAAGUACCUGUGAUGACAUCACUCCUGCUGUUGACCUUAAUCACCUGGCUUGAAGUAGUGUUUGUCAGAUGUCUCUGUUUUUAUUGUGUACUCUUAGGAAGGAAGUCACUGUGCACAGUCCACACUUAGAAGUGGAAAGUUAAGCACUGCCUCACUGAAGGUGGAGUUCACACAUAAAUUAUUUAGAAUUCCUUCAUAGUAGAUUUAUCUCAUCUUUUCAUGUACUUAUGUUUAAUCAUUUAUUUAUAUUAGUAGGGACUCAUGUAUGUUUAUUGUAUACUUUAUAGCUUUGGACAUUGGGUACUCUUUCAUUUGACUUUUGUGUCCCUUUGCAAUACUCCUAUCAUUUUGGGAUUUGGUAUUUGUUUCUUGAGCACUUUUUUUUUUUUAAACUACAAGAUGCACCUACCAUUACAAGAUGUUCCAGGUGGAUCUUGUAUAUUUCCAACCCCAGUCUUAGAUUCAGCUAUUUCUCCAAGUAACCCAGGUUCCUUUAUUUAUUUUGGAGAAUGAUGUUAAAAACCAAGAUCUCAGUAUUGGAUGUGUCAAUAUUAGGGUGUGUCAGUACCCUUUCAGCUGAUAAAACAAGGAGAUUAUGCAUGUGCUAAUCUGUGUAUAUACACCAUUUUAAAAUAUUUCUGUGUGUAACCAACUAUAUGUUAACAUAAACAUGAAUUCAUACUGAUGCUUCCAACUCUAAUCCAUUACCACAAGGAUCAUUCUAGACCUCCCCUUUCCAAUUUGUAAUUUUCCACUACGACAAUGAGAAUCCUGGCUCCCACCAUCUGCUAUCCAUUUACGUAAUUGUUCAAUUGCA